rnacentral:rRNA from 1 species
UACGGGGGGGGCAAGCGUUGUUCGGAAUUACUGGGCGUAAAGGGCUCGUAGGCGGCCAACUAAGUCCGACGUGAAAUCCCAAGGCUUAACCUUGGAACUGCGUCGGAUACUGGAUGGCUUGAAUUCGGGAGAGGGAUGCAGAAUUCCAGGUGUAGCGGUGAAAUGCGUAGAUAUCUGGAGGAAUACCGGUGGCGAAGGCGGCAUCCUGGACCGGCAUUGACGCUGAUGAGCGAAAGCUAGGGGAGCAAACGGG